GAUGAACGCUAGCGACAGGCCUAACACAUGCAAGUCGAGGGGCAGCACAAAGUAGCAAUACUUGGUGGCGACCGGCGCACGGGUGAGUAACACGUAUGCAACCUACCUGUAAGCGGGGAAUAACCCGGAGAAAUUCGGACUAACACCGCAUAAUACUGAAUUACUGCAUGGUUUUUCAGUUAAAUAUUUAUAGCUUACAGAUGGGCAUGCGUAUGAUUAGAUAGUUGGUAGGGUAACGGCCUACCAAGUCAACGAUCAUUAGGGGUUCUGAGAGGAAGGUCCCCCACACUGGUACUGAGACACGGACCAGACUCCUACGGGAGGCAGCAGUGAGGAAUAUUGGUCAAUGGGCGAGAGCCUGAACCAGCCAAGUCGCGUGAAGGAAGAAGGUUCUAUGGAUUGUAAACUUCUUUUGUAAGGGAAUAAAAAGAGUACGUGUACUCUAUUGUAUGUACUUACGAAUAAGGAUCGGCUAACUCCGUGCCAGCAGCCGCGGUAAUCUGU
rnacentral:rRNA from 1 species